GACGAACGCUGGCGGCGUGCUUAACACAUGCAAGUCGAACGGAAAGGCCCUGCUUUUGUGGGGUGCUCGAGUGGCGAACGGGUGAGUAACACGUGAGUAACCUGCCCUUGACUUUGGGAUAACUUCAGGAAACUGGGGCUAAUACCGGAUAGGAGCUCCUGCUGCAUGGUGGGGGUUGGAAAGUUUCGGCGGUUGGGGAUGGACUCGCGGCUUAUCAGCUUGUUGGUGGGGUAGUGGCUUACCAAGGCUUUGACGGGUAGCCGGCCUGAGAGGGUGACCGGCCACAUUGGGACUGAGAUACGGCCCAGACUCCUACGGGAGGCAGCAGUGGGGAAUAUUGCACAAUGGGCGGAAGCCUGAUGCAGCAACGCCGCGUGCGGGAUGACGGCCUUCGGGUUGUAAACCGCUUUCGCCUGUGACGAAGCGUGAGUGACGGUAAUGGGUAAAGAAGCUCCGGCUAACUACGUU
rnacentral:rRNA from 1 species